rnacentral:lncRNA from 1 species
UAUAGGGGACUAUUUUCAUGAUUAGAAUUUUAAUGAAUGAAUGAUUAAGAACUUUCUUUUCCCCCACAUCUUAUUCUUCUUCUUCCUCCUCCUCCCCUUCUCUUCUUCCUGCGUCCCUAGAAUCUCUUCUUCCUUCUCCCUCUCUUGUUCUUCCUUCUUCUCCUCUUUUCCCGCACUUGUGCUACAUCAACUUGGUAUCAGAGCCG